rnacentral:rRNA from 1 species
GAUGAACGCUGGCGGCGUGCUUAACACAUGCAAGUCGAACGAAGCAACUUAUUACGAUCCCUUCGGGGUGACGAUUUGUUGACUGAGUGGCGGACGGGUGAGUAACGCGUGGGUAACCUGCCUUGUACAGGGGGACAACAGUUGGAAACGACUGCUAAUACCGCAUAAGCGCACAGCUUCGCAUGAAGUAGUGUGAAAAGAUUUUUCGGUACAAGAUGGACCCGCGUCUGAUUAGCUAGUUGGUGAGGUAACGGCCCACCAAGGCGACGAUCAGUAGCCGACCUGAGAGGGUGACCGGCCACAUUGGGACUGAGACACGGCCCAAACUCCUACGGGAGGCAGCAGUGGGGAAUAUUGCACAAUGGGCGAAAGCCUGAUGCAGCGACGCCGCGUGAGCGAAGAAGUAUUUCGGUAUGUAAAGCUCUAUCAGCAGGGAAGAUAAUGACGUAC